rnacentral:rRNA from 1 species
CAUGCAAGUCGAACGGUAGAGGGGGCAACCCCUCGAGAGUGGCGAACGGGUGAGUAAUAUAUCGGAACGUGCCCAGUCGUGGGGGAUAACGUAGCGAAAGUUACGCUAAUACCGCAUACGAUCUAAGGAUGAAAGCGGGGGAUCGCAAGACCUCGCGCGAUUGGAGCGGCCGAUAUCAGAUUAGGUAGUUGGUGGGGUAAAGGCUCACCAAGCCAACGAUCUGUAGCUGGUCUGAGAGGACGACCAGCCACACUGGAACUGAGACACGGUCCAGACUCCUACGGGAGGCAGCAGUGGGGAAUUUUGGACAAUGGGCGCAAGCCUGAUCCAGCCAUUCCGCGUGCGGGACGAAGGCCUUCGGGUUGUAAACUGCUUUUGUACGGAACGAAAAAGCCUUGGCUAAUACCCAGGGUCCAUGACGGUACCGUAAGAAUAAGCACCGGCUAACUACGUGCCAGCAGCCGCGGUAAUACGUAGGGUGCAAGCGUUAAUCGGAAUUACUGGGCGUAAAGCGUGCGCAGGCGGUUAUAUAAGACAAAUGUGAAAUCCCCGGGCUCAACCUGGGAACCGCAUAUGUGACUGUAUAGCUAGAGUGCGGCAGAGGGGGAUGGAAUUCCGCGUGUAGCAGUGAAAUGCGUAGAUAUGCGGAGGAACACCGAUGGCGAAGGCAAUCCCCUGGGCCUGCACUGACGCUCAUGCACGAAAGCGUGGGGAGCAAACAGGAUUAGAUACCCUGGUAGUCCACGCCCUAAACGAUGUCAACUGGUUGUUGGGUCUUCACUGACUCAGUAACGAAGCUAACGCGUGAAGUUGACNCGCCUGGGGAGUACGGCCGCAAGGUUGAAACUCAAAUGAAUUGACGG